GCCAUGGUGGUUCAGUGGUAGAAUACUUAGCUUUCACGUGAGAAACCUGGGUUCAAUUCCCAGCCAACGCG
rnacentral:tRNA from 1 species